rnacentral:rRNA from 1 species
GGAAAGAUUUAUCGGAGAAGGAUCGGCCCGCGUUGGAUUAGGUAGUCGGUGAGGUAACGGCUCACCAAGCCGACGAUCCAUAGCUGGUUUGAGAGGAUGAUCAGCAACACUGGGACUGAGACACGGCCCAGACUCCUACGGGAGGCAGCAGUGGGGAAUCUUAGACAAUGGGGGAAACCCUGAUCUAGCCAUGCCGCGUGAGUGACGAAGGCCCUAGGGUCGUAAAGCUCUUUCGCCAGGGAAGAUAAUGACUGUACCUGGUAAAGAAACCCCGGCUAACUCCGUGCCAGCAGCCGCGGUAAUACGGAGGGGGUUAGCGUUGUUCGGAAUUACUGGGCGUAAAGCGCACGUAGGCGGAUUAGUCAGUCAGAGGUGAAAUCCCAGGGCUCAACCCUGGAACUGCCUUUGAUACUGCUAGUCUUGAGUUCGAGAGAGGUGAGUGGAAUUCCGAGUGUAGAGGUGAAAUUCGUAGAUAUUCGGAGGAACACCAGUGGCGAAGGGGCUCACUGGCUCGAUACUGACGCUGAGGUGCG